rnacentral:rRNA from 1 species
GGGAGGGCAGCAGUAGGGAAUUUUCGUCAAUGGGCGGCAAGCCUGAACGAGCAAUGCCGCGUGAACGAGGAAGGUCUUCGGAUCGUAAAGUUCUGUUGAAGGGGAAAAAGAGCGGAGAGAGGAAAUGGUCUCCGAUUGAUAUUACCCUUCGAGGAAGUCACGGCUAACUACGUGCC